ACCCAGAGGGGGAAAAAUGAAUUCUUUUCUGAAGCUGUUCCUGUCGGUGGGCUUAAAGCGUGGCCGUGGCAGGUAGCUGCUAGGAUAGAAGAGGCUGCCAAAGGGGAACCGCUCCAGGGCUGGGUGUCUGCCCCGACCAGUGACACACCACCCCUGGAUUCAGUCCGCACGCUAGGGUGGGUGGUGAUGGGGCGGGAGCGAGGGUGGAAGUAAACACCGCGCUGCCACUCAUUUUUCAGAACCUUCAAUCCGCCCUGUAAUGCUGACUAUCCACUAAGUAAUCCUCAGUAGCUCCUCCACUCUUGCAAGGGGAAAGGAGGGAAGGGGGAAGUUUUUGCUGAGACCAUUCCGCUGCUGCACUGACACAAACUCGUCGAGAGAGAUUCCCGCUACGGCUAUCCUGCCGGAGAGUGCGUUCAACAGGAAAAGGUGGACGGGCAGCAGAGGCACCUGAUUAGGAAGGAUGUGAUAACUAGGAAAAACGAAAGGAAGGAUGGAAGCGCAUAAAGACUACUUCUAAUUCGUGGAGUCUGGGUGAGAAGGGACGAAACCCUCCCGGGUUAAUGACUUCCCACCCCUGUCGGGGCUGCGAUGAGCCACAGAAGACCUACGACGGGCUUUUUCUGAACCGAAAUCGGGAGUGCCCGCCCUCCCCUUUGUGAUUGGCCACCUCCUGCCCGUGCCUGGAAAUUCUCGUCACAGUAUUGGUUGAUGUGACAGUCAUUCAAGAACAGUCCGCAAACCAACUAUGACUGGGGCUCAGGCAUUUCGGGAAAUGUAGUUCUCUGUGGCGCUUCCGCAUCCAGAGGCGGUCUUACGCUUGGAACUUAUAAAAUUAUUUUAUGGUUUAAUAUUUAUUGACUUAGUACGCUCACUGGGUGCAGCGAACAACAAAACAGAUUUGAAGAUUUUCUUAAGCUAUUUCCAAGUGGCUCUGAAAUUUUUGUUUAUUAAUUUAGUUCCCUGAAACACAUUUUACUGAAUGUGAGACGUCCUGGGUACUGAAGACAAUUCUUGCUUUCAACAAGCUCACCACAGUCUAAAGAGGGCAAACCUCACAUAAAUAAGAAAUUGUAAAACAAUGUGAUGAGUUCACUGAUGGACUCAUGCACGAGGAGGACUGGUAGAGGGUACUUUAACCUGCCAAAGAAGGGCUGGAAAUGGUGAUACCACAGUUGAGUCCCGAUGAAUAGGAAUUGAUCAGAUGAAGAGGCGAGACAGGAGCGCUGGAAGGCUGGUGGGGAGGAAUUACCUGGAGAGUUUUUUAAAAAUACAAAUGCCUGCAUAGGGGGAAAUUGCAAAAGAGAUCACUUCCCCAUGGAAUUUUAUGAUCCAUCUUUUCAUCUAGGUUGAAAAUAAAUCUUUGGAUAAUUUGUCGUCAUUGGAUUAUAAACCUCUUUGGAGAAGGAACAGCUUCUUGCUGAGAGGCCUUGUGGGGUAGUGGAAAAAUCCUAGGCUCUGUUGUCUCCCAGACAUGAAUUUCAUUCCAGGCCUUGGUAGUAUGUGCAAACUUGGGCAAAUUCCUUACUUUUCUUAACAGGCGGAUUCCCCCUGUGUAAAAUGAAAUUAAUACUACUUUCUUCCUGGGGUUCUGUGAA
rnacentral:lncRNA from 1 species